GAUGAAGAACGUAGCGAAAUGCGAUAAGUAAUGUGAAUUGCAGAAUUCAGUGAAUCAUCGAAUCUUUGAACGCACCUUGCGCCUUUUGGUAUUCCGAAAGGCACACCUGUUUGAGCGUCAUGAAUACCUCAAUCUCCAUCUUUUCUUCGGAUUGAUGGGUGACUUGGAUGUUGAGCCCUGCUGGUAUGCUAUAACAGCUGGCUUUAAACUUAUUAGCCGGCUCUGUACUGGAUCGGUUUGACUCGACGUGAUAAUAUUAUCGUUGAGGAUGCAUGUCUCAUGCAGCCGGAAAGUAUCAAAGCAGCUUCUAGCUUGCCUUUAGUGCACUUUUACAUUUUAGACCUCAGAUCAGGUGGGACUACCCGCUGAACUUAAGCAUAUCAUAAGCGGAGGA
rnacentral:misc_RNA from 1 species